UACGUAGGGGGCAAGCGUUGUCCGGAUUUAUUGGGCGUAAAGAGCGUGUAGGCGGCUAUACAGGUCCGCUGUGAAAACUCGAGGCUCAACCUCGAGACGUCGGCGGAAACCGUAUGGCUAGAGUCCGGAAGAGGAGAGUGGAAUUCCCGGUGUAGCGGUGAAAUGCGCAGAUAUCGGGAGGAACACCUAUGGCGAAGGCAGCUUGCUGGGACGGUACUGACGCUGAGACGCGAAAGCGUGGGGAGCAAACAGG
rnacentral:rRNA from 1 species